UCACCUCCAGCAAACGCGACCACAACCACACACCUCCAGUAACAUCUUCGUUUUCAUCCGCACCCUCCGUCUUUUUUUCGCCUCUAACAACAUCCUAAAAAAACUAAACCCUUCGUUAUUCGCCUCAAAAUUCACAACAUAUCUUUUUUCGGAGUGAAAAAAAUGAUUAUCACAUAAUCUAAGCCUUUUUGGAGGAAGAGUUUUAGGUUUGACAAUAAAGAAUAUUUCGAAGAGCAGCAACAAAUCUACAUCGCAUCGGCUUUUUAAGGACAAGGCAAAGAACCACAUUGAUGGCAUGCAACUGACAUUCAU